rnacentral:lncRNA from 1 species
UGAUCUAUUGCGGGUUUAAUGAGAUUAUGAUGUUCUUGCAAGGCACACAAAAUGAAUAGUUGCUUGUUGUAUACAACAAAAGUGGCACCAUAUAAAACCAGAUGGGUGUUGAUCAUCAUGCUGGGCCAUACAAAAGAAGUUUGCUUACUCGAGGAAAUAUCACAUGUCCAAAUUGCCCUAGUUCCCUAGAUGUAUAAACUGUCACCCUACAAACAAACAUGACCUAUCAGAGUAGACCAUAAGAUGCAAUAAUAACAAGAUUGAACACGCAAGCACAACGGGAGAAAAAACAAUGGCGAAACCAUAUGAAGGUCAUUAUGCAGUUGGCUUAAGUUACUACGGGCUAUGAUUGAUAGAAAUGAUAGCCCGUAAAAGUAAUUGAAAAUCCACUUCACUUGUAAUGUAAGUUGAUAAAAAAAAACCUUAAUAGAACGAUGUGUACACACAGAGCAGUCAUCCAACUAAUUAUCUUUUACGAACUAAGAUCUACUUGAUGUGUUUAAAAUAUUUACGUAAUAUGUGAGGAAUAUUGUUUUUAGCUUCAUUCGUGUGGUACAAUGUAAGUCACAUCCUGAUUUUAGUGAUCUUUAAAUUGUAGGCUACCUAUAGAUCAUUCGGUUGAUGUUUUCCUAAAAAUAACUUGCUAGACUACGUGACAUUGAUGUCACCGCAUAGAAACUGCUCCUUUCUUCUUUUCUUGACGGACAAAAAAGUAGUCCUCUGCUCACUCACCGCAUAGCUGCCUCCUACUAUUCCCGCAUAGCCAGCCAACCAUCGGUUAUCGCUGCAUCUCAUCUCCUCGCCACAGCAUCGUCGAUCCCAUCUCUCCUAGGAACCACCCCUCCAUGCCAUGGUGAAGCCCAUCCACUCCUCUCUCCAUCCCGUAGCAACGCACAGGCUGAGUCUUUCUUCCAUUUGCCAACGCAAGCAAUCUAAAAAAAUUAAAAAGAAAAAAAUGCAAAUAGGAAGAGGGGACCUUCUGUGUGAAAAUUUGAAGGCUUAUUAAUGGAUUGUGUGCCCAGCCACAACCAUCCACGCAGAUGAGCCCCCCCAAAGUCUUCUAGACUCAUACGAUCUAUGGUCAUGCCAUCAUGAUUAGAACAUCAAUGCAUCCGAGGAAACGCCAGCCUGUGAGCCUACUAACCCCAGCCGAUCCGGCUGAAUCAGCGUCGCGAUCGUACCAAGGAGGCGCCGCUCCUUGCAGGGAGGGCCACGCUGAUGCCAUGGUGGGUACGGCCGCGCCUGACGCCACCGAGAUGAGCAGCGGACGGCUGCCUCAAAGAGGGGGGCGAGGGCGACAAGCUUGGAGGAACGUAACCAAAGAAGAGUAACUUACAGUGUUGGAGAUCUCAUCCAUGGUGUGAACAAUCUCAGCAGAGGGCGGCAUCUACCCAAUGUGGCCAACAAGCUUGUCCGACCUGCAAAUUUAACCAAACAGUCAUAGAAAAUUUAGCCGUAUCGCUGGAUGACCUCGUCGAGCGACGGAAGCCCUUUGCAGUGCGCAGCACAUCGAAGCCGUACAGCCGCCGACCCGGUCGGGUCGAGCAGACCGUCGAGAGGCACGCGCACCUACCCGGCCACGCACCCGACGCUGGCCAGCGCCCACACGAACGUGGUCUCCGGCGGAAACGACGCCAUCGACACAACCAGUUCCAGCGCGCCCGCCCACGCCGCCGGGCCCCAGCACGACCACCAACAUCGCUCCUCGCCCCCCACCAGCAAUGCCCC